UAGGAAGUGGUGUAGUGGAAGCACAAAGAGUUUUGAUCUCUUAGGGAGAGGUUCAAAUCCUCUCUUUCUAG
rnacentral:tRNA from 1 species